GGGUCAGUAGGUUGGUCGUGCCACCGGUACGUACUGGUCUCACUGAUUCCUCCUUCCUGAAGAACCGUAAUGCCAUUAAUUUGGUGUUGCUGGGAAACAGGACUGUUACUUUGAAAAAAUUAGAGUGUUUAAAGCAAGCUAACGCUUGAAUACAUCAGCAUGGAAUAAUGAAAUAGGACGAUCGAUCCUAUUUUGUUGGUUUCUAGGAUUGACGUA
rnacentral:rRNA from 1 species